GUGGGGAAUAUUGGACAAUGGGCGAAAGCCUGAUCCAGCCAUGCCGCGUGUGUGAAGAAGGUCUUCGGAUUGUAAAGCACUUUAAGUUGGGAGGAAGGGCAGUAAGUUAAUACCUUGCUGUUUUGACGUUACCGACAGAAUAAGCACCGGCUAACUUCGUGCCAGCAGCCGCGGUAAUACGAAGGGAGCAAGCGUUAAUCGGAAUUACUGGGCGUAAAGCGCGCGUAGGUGGUUUUGUAAGUUGGAGGUGAAAUCCCCGGGCUCAACCUGGGAACUGCCUCCAAAACUGCAUGACUAGAGUACGGUAGAGGGUAGUGGAAUUUCCUGUGUAGCGGUGAAAUGCGUAGAUAUAGGAAGGAACACCAGUGGCGAAGGCGACUACCUGGACUGAUACUGACACUGAGGUGCGAAAGCGUGGGGAGCAAACAGGAUUAGAAACCCGGGUAGUCC
rnacentral:rRNA from 1 species